CUACCCGGGUUUCUAAUCCUGUUUGCUACCCACGCUUUCGCGUCUCAGUGUCAGGUCCGGCCCAGAAGGCCGCCUUCGCCACCGGUAUUCCUCCUAAUAUCUACGAAUUUCACCUCUACACUAGGAAUUCCACCUUCCUCUACCGUCCUCUAGCUAAGUAGUUUCGGAUGCACUUCCUCGGUUGAGCCCAGGGAUUUCACACCCGACUUACUUAACCACCUACACGCGCUUUACGCCCAAUGAUUCCGAACAACGCUUGCACCCUACGUAUUACCGCGGCUGCUGGCAC
rnacentral:rRNA from 1 species